rnacentral:rRNA from 1 species
UACGUAGGGGGCAAGCGUUAUCCGGAUUUACUGGGCGUAAAGCGCGCGUAGGCUGUUGUGUAAGUUGGGGGUGAAAUCCCACGGCUCAACCGUGGAACAGCCCUUGAUACUGCGCGACUUGAAUCCGGGAGAGGGUGGCGGAAUUCCAGGUGUAGGAGUGAAAUCCGUAGAUAUCUGGAGGAACAUCAGUGGCGAAGGCGGCCACCUGGACCGGUAUUGACGCUGAGGCGCGAAAGCGUGGGGAGCAAACAGG